UGCGCCCCACCCGCUGCUCCCGUCCUCCCCUGCCCUAGCCCCGAGGGGCCUCGGCCGAUCAGCCCCCCUGUCCUGAUCACCCGCGGACACCUGCUCUCUCGCCUUCUGCCCCCUGCCCUCGGUCAAGGCGCUCACCCAAUCCACUUACCACGUCCCCACCCCGCUGACCCCAGCUUCUUCGCGCUCCCCUAUGCACACUGCCCACUUCCCCUCCCUCCGCAAGGUCCGGGGCAGCCCUUCCCAGCACCCUGGACCCACGCAGGGCCCCGAUGCCUUGGUUGGGCACCAGCCCUGCCCCGAUGGCCGCGUCCUCCCGCUCCCCAGCCCAGCGCGUCCGAACCCGCCCGCCGUCCGCUGCUCUGUUGUCCCCUGAGCCGACGCCGGCUGACCCAGCCCUGCCCGGGCGACAGGUGGCUCCCGGAGUUGGGGUGCGGGGGAGCGAGGGGUUGUCCAGAGCUGGCCGAAGAGGGUAGGCACGGGGGCGUGGUAGCGAGGGAACCGCGAGCCCCGAGGGUGCGUGCGCGGCUCCGGUGCCUCAGCGCCUGCGUUGCAGCCCGCGGAAGCCCAGUGUUACCCAGACUGUGUGUAUUUCUGGGGCCUGUCUCUCCCAUUGUAAUGAAAGCUCUAUGAGAAGGGCAUGGCCUAUCUCAUCUGCUGCUGUAUCUCCAUCACAUAGAACAGUGGUACCCAGCACAUGGUAGGUACUCAAUCAAUACCUAUUGAAUUGUGUCUCCCUACAAAAGAUGUUGAAGUACCAUGGACGGUAGCCCACCCAACUCCUCUGUCCAUGGAAUUCUCCAGGCAAGAAUACUGGAGUGGGUAGCCAUUCCCUUCUCCAGAGGAUCUUCCCAACCCCGGGAUCGAACCUGCGUUGCAGAUGAAUUCUUUACCAUCUGAGCCACCAGAGGAGCCCUGAAGUACCUGUGAAUGGAAACCUGUUUGGAAAUAAAAGUUUUGCAAAUGAUCAAGUUAAGGUAAUAGGGUCCCAUUCAGUAUGACUGCCUCUUUCUUUAAAAAAAGGAAACUUUGAAGAUGGACACAUAUGGAGGGAGGAGGAUGUGAGUAUACAGAAAGAAUGCCACCUACAAGUCAAGGGUUAUCUGAGACUACCAGAAACUAGGAGGGGCCUGAAACAGAUUUUUCCCUCUCAGCCCUCAGAGGGAACCAACUCUGUGGACACCUUGAUCUUGGACUUCUAGUCUUGAGAAUUGUGGACUAUAAAUUUCUGUUGUUUAAGCCAUCCAAUGUGGUCUUUGUUAGAACAAUCGCAGGAAACUAAGACAUCCAGCUUAUUCCUUCUGUGGUCCCCUGGGGACCUAUCUACCGCUCCAUUCCACUCUUUGACACAUGGCAUAAUCUAUCUUUUAACUGUCUUUCCUGUUCUGAACUCCUAAAGGCAAGAACUGGGCUUUCCCUCAGGGAAAGAAUCAGCCUGCAAUGCAGGAGGUACAGAAGAGACAGGUUCAGUCCCUGGGUUGGGAAGAUCCCCUGGAGGAGGAAAUGGCCCCCCACGCCAGUAUUCUUGCCUGGGAAAUCCCAUGGACAGAGGAGCCUGGCAGACUACAGUCCAGAGGGUUGCAGAGUCAGACACGACCAAGUGACUAAACCCACAACACACACACACACACACACACACACAAAGGCAAGAUCUACAUUUGGUUCAUUCAGCUUUCUUUAUAGUCCCAACUCUCACAUCCAUACAUGACUACCAGAAAAACCAUAGCUUUGACUAUACAGACCUUUGUUGGCAAAGUGAUGUCUCUCCUUUUUAAUAUGCUAUCUAGGUUUGUCAAAGCUUUUCUUCCAAAGAGCAAGUGUCUUUUAAUUUCAUGGUUGCAGUCACCAUCUGCAAUGAUUUUGGAGCCCAAGAAAAUAAAGUCUGUCACUGUUUCCAUUAUUUCCCCAUCUAUUUGCCAUGAAGUGAUGAGAUCCAAUG
ensembl:lncRNA